GAUGAACGCUAGCGGCAGGCUUAAUACAUGCAAGUCGGGGGGCAGCAUGAAUGUAGCAAUACUUCAGAUGGCGACCGGCGCACGGGUGAGUAACACGUAUCCAACCUGCCGCUUACUCGGGGAGAGCCUUUCGAAAGAAAGAUUAAUACCCGAUGGUAUAAAGAGUUCGCAUGUUCUCUUUAUUAAAGAAUUUCUGUAAGCGAUGGGGAUGCGCUCCAUUAGAUAGUUGGCGGGGUAACGGCCCACCAAGUCUACGAUGGAUAGGGGUUCUGAGAGGAAGGUCCCCCACAUUGGAACUGAGACACGGUCCAAACUCCUACGGGAGGCAGCAGUGAGGAAUAUUGGCCAAUGGACGAGAGUCUGAACCAGCCAAGUAGCGUGAAGGAUGACUGCCCUAUGGGUCGUAAACUUCUUUUAUAAGGGAAUAAAGUGAGGGACGUGUCCCUUUUUGUAUGUACCUUAUGAAUAAGGAUCGGCUAACUCCGUGCCAGCCGCCGCGGUAACAC
rnacentral:rRNA from 1 species